rnacentral:misc_RNA from 1 species
UAAUAAGUGUUUUAUGGCACUUUUUAAAUCCAUAUCCACCUUGUGUGCAAUGUCAGUCGGAUCUUCUUCAUGGAGAUCGACCAAACAUCAACCUUUAUCUUUUAACUCUUUGUCUUAAAAAUAUUAUGAAUAAACAAUUCAAAAUA